rnacentral:lncRNA from 1 species
AGAGAAGCGGUUAAACGGGUUGAGGCUCUUGGACUGAGGGUACUGGAGUGGUUUGGUUUUUUUGUUUGUUUGUGUCGUUUUUGUUAAGAUUUGCUUUUCUGGUUGAUGGCCCCUAGGAGUGCCCUCCUCCUACACCAGGACCUCUGGGAUCACAAUCUUCCCUAUGUCGUUCCGCCCCACCCCCACCCUUACCCCACCCCUCUGCCCGCGUCUAAGCGAUUUUUCCAGAUCCUUCUCUAUCCUCAGGACUCCAAGUGGCGAGCCUCCCAAGUCCGGGCCUGCCUCGUGGCCGGCCCUGCUCACCCAGGCCCACAGCGGAAUAGCUGGAGACAGGCAGUCAGAUGUGAAGUGGCAAAGAUCGGCCUCCCGUGAUUGUGCCACAGAUGCCCAUGGUUCCAGGCGUGGGCACCUGAGCAGUGUGGGAAAGAGAGGUCGAGGGAUUGAAAGUGUGGGCCCCGUAGGGACAGUUUCAGCCCAGGUGCACAGAUCGGACACAACUUUGCCCUCCCUGCAGCCUGGCAGGCCCACCGCAAAAAUGCCAUGAGCAGAUUUAUAAGAGCCAUAGACUUGUAAGUGGAGGUACGUGUGUUAAAAUUCCUUUUCUCCCAC